rfam:Oryza sativa Japonica Group DNA, chromosome 12, cultivar: Nipponbare, complete sequence.
UGUAGGUGCAGUUGCUAGCUUUUAUGUGUAACGUCUGAUUGUCUGUCUUAUUUGAACUUUUUUAUAAUUAGUAUUUUUAUUGCUAUUAGAUGAUAAAACAUAAACUUAUUUUUUUAUUUUUUAUAUUUUUUUUAAAUAAGACGGAUGGUCAAAUGUUGGAUAAAAAACCCACUACUAUAUGUAAA